rnacentral:rRNA from 1 species
UACGGGGGGGGCAAGCGUUGUUCGGAAUUACUGGGCGUAAAGGGCUCGUAGGCGGCCAACUAAGUCGGAUGUGAAAUCCCCAGGCUUAACCUGGGAAUUGCAUCCGAUACUGGACGGCUUGAAUCCGGGAGAGGGAUGCGGAAUUCCAGGUGUAGCGGUGAAAUGCGUAGAUAUCUGGAGGAACACCGGUGGCGAAGGCGGCAUCCUGGACCGGCAUUGACGCUGAGGAGCGAAAGCCAGGGGAGCAAACGGG